CUGAUGCAGCAACGCCGCGUGAGGGAUGACGGCCUUCGGGUUGUAAACCUCUUUUAGUAGGGAAGAAGCGAAAGUGACGGUACCUGCAGAAAAAGCACCGGCUAACUACGUGCCAGCAGCCGCGGUAAUACGUAGGGUGCAAGCGUUGUCCGGAAUUAUUGGGCGUAAAGAGCUCGUAGGCGGUUUGUCGCGUCUGCUGUGAAAUCUGGGGGCUCAACCCCCAGCCUGCAGUGGGUACGGGCAGACUAGAGUGCGGUAGGGGAGAUUGGAAUUCCUGGUGUAGCGGUGGAAUGCGCAGAUAUCAGGAGGAACACCGAUGGCGAAGGCAGAUCUCUGGGCCGUAACUGACGCUGAGGAGCGAAAGCAUGGGGAGCGAACAGGAUUAGAUACCCUGGUAGUCCAUGCCGUAAACGUUGGGAACUAGAUGUGGGGGCCAUUCCACGGUCUCCGUGUCGCAGCUAACGCAUUAAGUUCCCCGCCUGGGGAGUACGGCCGCAAGGCUAAAACUCAAAGGAAUUGACGGGGGCCCGCACAAGCGGCGGAGCAUGCGGAUUAAUUCGAUGCAACGCGAAGAACCUUACCAAGGCUUGACAUAUACCGGAAACGUCCAGAGAUGGUCGCCCCCGCA
rnacentral:rRNA from 1 species